UACGUAGGGUGCAAGCGUUGUCCGGAAUUAUUGGGCGUAAAGAGCUCGUAGGCGGUUUGUUGCGUCGGCUGUGAAAUCCCGAGGCUCAACCUCGGGUCUGCAGUCGAUACGAGCAAACUAGAGUGUUGCAGGGGAGACUGGAAUUCCUGGUGUAGCGGUGAAAUGCGUAGAUAUCAGGAGGAACACCGGUGGCGAAGGCGCUCAUCUGGCCCAAUACUGACGCUGAUGCGCGAAAGCUAGGGGAGCAAACGGG
rnacentral:rRNA from 1 species